rnacentral:antisense_RNA from 1 species
AUCUAUGGUAACGUGUUAUGGGAAAGGUUUCGCCCUUUGCCGUGUUCCUUGUAUCGCGGUUUUCGAGCCCGUAACACGUUACCGCCAAA